rnacentral:tRNA from 1 species
UGGCGGGGUAGCUCAGCUGGUUAGAGCAGCGGAAUCAUAAUCCGCGUGUCGGGGGUUCAAGUCCCUCUCCCGCUACCAU